GCCCGGCUAGCUCAAUCGGUAGAGCGUGAGACUCUUAAUCUCAAGGUUGUGGGUUCGACCCGUAAGCACCAGACG